UCUAGACUCCUAAGCUAGUAAGCUGAC
rnacentral:piRNA from 1 species